GCUAGAACUCCACCCAGUCUGCUUCAUUUUAUAGCCCAGAGAGCUGCAAAAAUAUGGCUGAGCCAGGAUUGCCACCUCAGUUUUCUAAUUAGUCCAGGCAAUCCUUCCUCUGCAUUGUGCAGCAUCAGAUCCUUAAAGAUUCUUGAGAUAAAGUGGCACUGCCCUUUAAGGUGAGGCAGAAAUGCAUACUGUUGAAAAGCAUGGGCCCAUAUGUCAGACCCUGGGGCAAGAACCUCAGCUUCACUAACCACCAUUAAGUGAUGGGUAAGCUUCUUAACUUCUUUGUGCCUCAGUUUCCUCAUCUGUAAAAUAGGGAUAAUCACAGUGCCAUCUCAGAAGCUUGUUACCAGAAUGUUAUUAAAAUGUGUAAAGCCCCUAGAACAGUGCCUAGCUCAUGGUGUGUAUUAUUGAUAUCACAAUAUCAAUAAUUGAGUCACUCUGGUCUUUUCCUCCUAUACAUGUACCUGGAAUCAUUUUAGGUAAAAGAGAGACUCCUCAUCCAUCCUCAUAGUCCCCUAUGCCAUGAAUUAUUUCUGGAGCAUCUGUGACAGUUUCUGAUUCUGUUCCCCUAUGAGCUACUGAACACCUGGACUCAUCCUGAAAAACAAAGGAGCCUUGUGGUGACCCUCAUGGUUUCCAUCACCUUCAUUCCUCCUCUGCCCAGUCCUCUGCCUUCCAGAAGGUUGAAUGCUGCUGAUUCCAGGUGUCCAGGCCCCAACCAAAUUUGCUGAAGCUUCCAGAGAAAUCACUGCUGAACUAAACUCCGCGUGCUAAAGUGGGAAAUAAUGUUUAUCUCCUCCUUGACCUUGGUAAAUAGAUCUGUGGGUCCUGGGGGAGUGGGAGGAGGCUUCCCUGGAACACAGUUGGCGCCAGCUCAUGCGAGGUCCAUAGGACAUUAAGAGGCUAAGCACCAGCCUCUGAGGUGGCUACUCUGACCUUUGAAUGUGGUGUUGGAGGGAUGGACACCGGUCUCUAAGCUGCUUCCUGCCCUGCUCCAUGGAAUUGUCUCUAAUGGGCGAAAUGUCUAACGCUAUGCCAUUGUCUUAGGUUUUCAAAUGAUCACUAUCGCUAUCAUUAACAGCAACAUUCACAGUCCCUGAUAAGGUACCCUCUCUGUUGCCCCGGGCCAGUCUAGGCUUUUAUCCAAAAACUGAGAUUCCCACAGAGCAUCUUCUGGGGACUCUUCCCUGCGGGACCUGGACGUGCAGUCCCGCAAUUUCGGCCCGCAGGACAGGUUAAAUUACGAGAGUGACUGUGGCAGGAAUGCGGCACGAAGGCACCU
rnacentral:lncRNA from 1 species